rnacentral:rRNA from 1 species
GUGCCAGCAGCCGCGGUAAUACGUAGGGUGCAAGCGUUAAUCGGAAUUACUGGGCGUAAAGCGUGCGCAGGCGGUGAUGUAAGACAGAUGUGAAAUCCCCGGGCUCAACCUGGGAACUGCAUUUGUGACUGCAUCGCUGGAGUGCGGCAGAGGGGGAUGGAAUUCCGCGUGUAACAGUGAAAUGCGUAGAUAUGCGGAGGAACACCGAUGGCGAAGGCAAUCCCCUGGGCCUGCACUGACGCUCAUGCACGAAAGCGUGGGGGCAAACAGGAUUA